rnacentral:tRNA from 1 species
GGAGGGAUCGCAUAGUUGGUCUAGUGCGCCGCACUUGAAAUGCGGUAGGCCCGAAAGGGUCUCGAGAGUUCGAAUCUCUCUCCCUCCG